AAUGAACGUAAAGGCUGGUAAUAACAAUCACAUAUUCUGCUGGGCAUGUCAGAAUCACUACUGUUACCUUUGUGGAAAGACGGUGAAGCGAAGCUCCCAGCAUUAUGGACCUAAGGGCUGCAAACAACACACUGCUGAUGGAUAGUUGAAAAAAGAAACAUUCCAAUUUAACGGAUCGAUCUUUCUACCUGCAAUGUCAUUGAUCCGUGUAUCUUUUCCUCUGAUAUAUGGCAUUUUCACAGCAGCUCUAAGUGCAUAUAGUAGCGGAAUUUUCAUUCAGCCAAAGAGUGAGGCAUAGUA
rnacentral:misc_RNA from 1 species